rnacentral:lncRNA from 1 species
AGGAUAAAAGCUCAGAAAACUUCCCCAAUGGUUAAUUUGAGAUGCAUUUGAUCAUAAAAGGACAAGAGAGAAGAAGUGGUUAUAAGAUGUCAACAUUUGUUUCCAGUUCCCGUCAGAGACAAAGAAACACAAACCCAAGGAUUGAAUCACUUGGUGGUCCAGUAAAAGAAUGCAUUCUCCUCAGCUAUCUGGAGAAGUUCAAGAUUGUCUUUGAUAAAAGAAUAUUUACCAGGUGUCUGAAAAUACCAAGCUGGAGAAUUAGUCUAUGGUGAUUAAAAACUCUCAAAGCAUGUCUUACCAACUGGAGAAUUUUUCCUAUGUCAACCAAAGGGGCGGAUGCCCCUGCUCACUCUAACCUUCCCUUUGGGGGUUCCUUGGAGACCACAUCUAGACCAGUGGGUGCCACAAUCACUGUGUCAAGUAUGGAAAGGGCAGCUGAGAUCACAUCGAGGAUUCCAGAAAGAAUUGGCACAGGAUCAUUCGGGAUGCAUCUCUCCCUUGCCUCUGUUCCUGGCUUUCCUUACAGCUCUCGACUUCCUCAAAGGAGUCAUCAGUUCAGAGUUUGGCUUCCAUUCCUAUUGAGGAAGCUGGAAAGUGUUUCAAAAAUGCUCCUCCGAUGUGCCUGUGGUUAAGACCUCUGAGCUCUGCUUAAAACUUUUGGAAGCUGGGGGCAGUGGCUCAAGCCUGUAAUCCCAGCCCUUUGGGAGGCUGAGGCAGGCGAAUCACAAGGUCAGGAAUUCGAGACCAGCCUGGCCAACAUGGUGAAACCAUGUCUCUACUCAAAAGAGAAAAAAAUGAGCCAGGCGUAGUGGCGGGCGCCUGUCAUUUCAGCUACUUUGCAGGCUGAGACAGUAGAUUAGCUUGAACCUGGGAUGCAGAGGCUGCAGUGAGCCGAGAUCACUCCACUGCACUCUAGCCUGGGCAACGGAACGAGACUCCAUCUCAAAACAACAAAAACAAAAACAAAAAACAAAAAAACCCACAACUUUUUGAGAGUUGGAAGACCAGGAAGUAUAGUACCCGAGAUUUCGAGUCUGUCCAUGAAAUUUGAAUACCACCCUUUCUACUUCUCUGUGUGGCAAAGGGUGAGAUGUCCAUCCUCUGAGACUCAGCACUCUCAUCUGACUUGUUUUCCAGUUGAUCCGAUGGAAGUGAGUGAUGAUUAAGCCGAUCGUGGGUGUCCCCUGCGUGAUCUCUAGGUGACGGAUGCAUAAAGUAAAGGCAAAGUGAAUUUUAGAUACAUUCCUUAAGAUUUUCAGCUUCAACUCCACACAAUUCAAUGGAAAUAUCCCCUGACCUGAAGUUCUGCUUUCCCUGCAUUCCAGACAGGACAUUUUGUUUUGUCCUUCUCUCAGUAAGGACUGAGUACUGUGAGAGGAACAAUUGAGUCUCUUUGGUUUCUGAUUCCCCAGAGCCUAUAUCUUGCUUGGCACAUAGGAGACAGCAAAAGUCAAAUAUAUGCUAAUGAUUGAAUUGACACUUCCUUGCUUCACCAAAAUUGGCUGUCAUCAGCUUGACUUUGACUUACUUGAUUCUUUUUGUUUUUUUUUUUGAGACGGAGUUUUGCUGUCAUUGCCCAGGCUGGCGUGUGAUUUCGGCUCACUGUGGUCUCUGCCUCCCAGGUUCAAGCCACUCUCCUGCCUCAGCCUCCCGAGUAGCUGGGACUACAGGCACGCGCCGCCAUACCGGGCGAAUAUUUUGUAUUUUUAGUAGAAGCAGGGUUUCACCAUGUUGGCCAGGAUGGUCUUGAUCUCCUGACACUGUGAUCCGCCCUCCUCGGCCUCCCAAAGUGCUGGGAUUACCGGCGUGAGCCACCGCGUCCGGCCAAACUUUCUGAUGAAAACUCUAAGUCCACCGAAGCUAAGAACAGGAGUUAGAGCUUCCACGAAUUUUAAAACAAGACCCACCGAUUUGAGUAAGCAAUUACUCUCUCGAAGGAGAAAAGUCCGAAAACACAAUGAUGAAAUCACUAGGACCUAACCGGCAUGUGGAACUAUUUUCUGCUUAUGAACUAUCAACUUUCAUUUCAUUUCCAGAUGGCAUGGUCUCAGCUGUUAUACAGUGUUUACAAAUGUUGUAAAUCAAGGGAAUUUGUAUCAAUCUAGUAGAAUAAAUAAAAUAUUUGAGUUCUUAAUUUCCUUUAA